rnacentral:rRNA from 1 species
UCCGGGGCUUAGUGCCGGAGCUAACGCAAUAAGCACUCCGCCUGGGGAGUACGACCGCAAGGUUGAAACUCAAAGGAAUUGACGGGGGCCCGCACAAGCGGUGGAGCAUGUGGUUUAAUUCGAAGCAACGCGAAGAACCUUACCAGGUCUUGACACCCCGAUGCUAUUCUUAGAGAUAGGAAGUUACUUCGGUACAUCGGAGACAGGUGGUGCAUGGUUGUCGUCAGCUCGUGUCGUGAGAUGUUGGGUUAAGUCCCGCAACGAGCGCAACCCUUAUUGUUAGUUGCCAUCAUUAAGUUGGGCACUCUAGCGAGACUGCCGGUAAUAAACCGGAGGAAGGUGGGGAUGACGUCAAAUCAUCAUGCCCCUUAUGACCUGGGCUACACACGUGCUACAAUGGUCGGUACAACGAGUUGCGAGCCGGUGACGGCAAGCUAAUCUCUGAAGCCGAUCUCAGUUCGGAUUGGAGGCUGCAACUCGCCUCCAUGAAGUCGGAAUCGCUAGUAAUCGCGGAUCAGCACGCCGCGGUGAAUACGUUCCCGGGCCUUGUACACACCGCCCGUCACACCACGAGAGUUUGUAACACCCGAAGUCGGUGAGGUANCCUUUUAGGG